rnacentral:rRNA from 1 species
AUGUCCAAAUCUUUACUUGUCGCCAUUAAAAUCUCAGACCGAGUAGCCGAAACUUAUGAGUCUUUGGCGAGAUGCACACCAUGUUCAUUGGCAGCGUUCUCAAGAUCGCGUCGCCUCGGCCAUGAUACAACAUGGAAUGUUGUGGUUUGUGCACCUUUGGCGACAUGUGCACAAUGUUCAUUGGCUACAACGGUAAGCUGGCAUCGCUUCACCGAACAAAAGAAUAAUCUUAGAAUGUAUGAAAGCAUCCACACGCUUGGAUGCGCCGGUCUUUUUUUUUCUACACUACAUCCAUCAUUAUUUAAUUUUUUUUGCGAGAAAAACUUUCAAUCUAUUCAUCUUCAAUCAUGGUAG